rnacentral:rRNA from 1 species
AACGAACGCUGGCGGCAGGCUUAACACAUGCAAGUCGAGGGGUAGAAAUAGCUUGCUAUUUUGAGACCGGCGCACGGGUGCGUAACGCGUAUGCAAUCUGCCUUGUACUGGGGAAUAGCCCGGAGAAAUCCGGAUUAAUGCCCCAUGGUAUUUUUGUGUGGCAUCACACGAUUAUUAAAGAUUUAUCGGUACAAGAUGAGCAUGCGUCCCAUUAGUUAGUUGGUGUGGGAACGGCACACCAAGACGAUGAUGGGUAGGGGUCCUGAGAGGGAGAUACCCCAAACUGGUACUAAGACACAGACCAGACUCCUACGGGAGGCAGCAGUGAGGAAUAUUAGUCAAUGUGCGCAAGCCUGAACCAGCCAUGCCGCGUGCAGGAUGACGGCCCUAUGGGUUGUAAACUGCUUUUAUACGGGAAGAAACACCUCUUCGUGAAGAGGCUUGACGGUACCGUAAGAAUAAGGAUCGGCUAACUCCGUGCCAGCAGCCGCAGUAAGAC